UAACUAAUUAGAUCCUAGUCCAAUUAAAAAAUUAUUUAGGCCCUAAUCCAAUUAAAAAAUUAGUUAGAUUAAAAUUUUAUUGAUUCAGAGAUUGAUUCUUAAUGGAUAUCAGGGAAGUUAUUGAUCAAUAGGGCUUGAUCCAAUCAAGCCUAUUAUCCAAUAGGAUUUGAUCCAAUCAAAAUCUAUAUCAGACUAAAUUGAAUCUUAUUCAACUCAAAAUUUGAUUUGCA
rnacentral:lncRNA from 1 species